ensembl:lncRNA CCDC28A-AS1 CCDC28A antisense RNA 1
GUUUCCGAUUGGUUGCCCGGACUUCUCGCGGCUAAACUAAUUUUGGCUCCAAGGCGGCGUGAAGAGUGUGAUUCUGUUCAGCGACCGUGAUUCUGUUCAGCGACCAUGAUGUUGAGCCCCUAAUUGAGAGUCUGUUACCACUAUUAAUAGCUACUCUGUUCGGGCCCUACACAUAACGGUGUAUCUAAACCUCUCUACAAUUUUAUGGACAGAGUCUUGCUGUGUCGCCCAAGCUAGAGUGCAGUGGUGUCAUCUGGGCUCAUUGCAACCUCCGCUUCCUGGAUUCAAGCAAUUCUCAUGCCACAGCCUCCCAAGUAGCUGGGACUACAGCUAGAAGAAUUGAAUUCUUCCGUAGCAUUUAUAGGACGGUGAUAAAAUUAAAGCAAGCAUUUCUUAGUGAAACAAACCAUUGUUCCUGAUUGUUCAUCAGAUGGAAUCUCACUCUGUCACCCAGGCUGGAGUGCAGUGGCGCAAUCUCAGCUCACUGCAACCUCUGCCUCCCUGAUUUAAGCGAUUCUCCUGCUUCAACCUCCCGAGUAGCUGGGACGACAGGCGCGCACCACCAUGCCCAG